AACCUUCUGUAUCCGUGCCGAGAUUUCGUCACAAUUCAAAUCACAAAGGCUGACGAGACUUCUAAGAUAAGUGAAAUG
rfam:Schistosoma mattheei strain Denwood, Zambia genome assembly, scaffold: SMTD_contig0009265